rnacentral:rRNA from 1 species
UACGUAGGGUCGAGCGUUGUCCGGAUUUAUUGGGCGUAAAGCGCUCGCAGGUGGUCCGUCGCGUCGUGCGUGAAAGACCCCGGCUCAACUGGGGAGGGUCGUGCGAUACGGGCGGACUGGAGGCCAGUAGGGGGAUGCGGAAUUCCGGGUGUAGUGGUGGAAUGCGUAGAGAUCCGGAGGAACACCAGCGGCGAAGGCGGCAUCCUGGACUGGUCCUGACACUCAGGAGCGAAAGCGUGGGGAGCGAUCCGG